UACGUAGGGGGCAAGCGUUGUCCGGAUUUACUGGGCGUAAAGAGCGUGUAGGCGGCCACGCAGGUCCGUUGUGAAAACUGGAGGCUCAACCUUCAGACGUCGACGGAAACCGUAUGGCUAGAGUCCGGAAGAGGAGAGUGGAAUUCCUGGCGUAGCGGUGAAAUGCGCAGAUAUCAGGAAGAACACCAAUGGCGAAGGCAGCUCUCUGGGACGGUACUGACGCUGAGACGCGAAAGCGUGGGGAGCGAACAGG
rnacentral:rRNA from 1 species